rnacentral:misc_RNA from 1 species
GUACAACAUCGUGCCAUGUGUAGAAAAUGAGUUUUUACACUUAGCAAAGUUUCCAGAUGACCAUGAAUUUCGGACAUAUAUUAUACUUUGUUCACUAAACUAAAGAAUCAUGGGAACUAUUUCUUGAAUUUUGCUUGAUUGUGAUUCAUCUUUCAAUGGUAGGGAAGGGGUAAAAUAGAAAACAGUUCC